GAAGGAGCUCACAUCAAAGAGAGACCCGACUGGCAACAAGCAGCUUUGAUCACAUGCUUCGUCCUGUCCCAGAAGAUGCCAUCUGCUACCUGUAUGCCCGUGUCAGAGCUUUGGCCACCCUGUGUGGAAAAGAGGAAAAAAAGACCAUGAAGCAAAAAUAUGAUGCCUAAACCGAUGCCCUGUGAGGAGUGCAGGAAAGUCACAGAACAGAGAAUCAGACACAGAGUUAAAGUGCAGAGCAGCAGACGUGGAAACGACUCAGAAUGAAUCAACAUUAAAGUCCAGCACUACCCCAGAGCAGCAUCCUGUCAGAACUCGCUUCCUCUUGACCUCUGUGCAGUUUUCGCUGCUGGACAGGUAAAAUCCUACCUUUGUGAAGAAAGCUGGGGAGGCUGUCACCAUGGGACGCCUGCAGGUCAACCUUUCCCAGCCGGGAAAAUCGUGAGUCACCAAAAGGUCACAAGUUUUGCAGCUUUCUGUAGAAUUCACCUGCUUCACCCUGUUAUGAGUAACUUCACUGGGUUUUUGGACAUUUCUGCUUUUGCUAUUUUUCAAUUUCAUGUGUAAGAGAAUAUGACAUGAGAAAUGUGAUGUGCAGAUCUAUGGAUGCAUCCUCAUAAAACAGCAGUUAUUGGGAUGGAAAAGGAAGAAAACAAAGGCAAGAUGAAGAUACAAAAGUAUGAGGAGAAACUUUAGCUUUCUUUCAUGCUUACUUUCUUAAUGAGGAAGUUGUUUUACUUAAAUUCAUAUAAAAUAUAUCUGAAAUGUGCUAAAUGCCAAACCUGCUACCAGCAUACUUUGUGUUCAGUUUUCCCCACUUUAAGUCUGGUGAUCAUACCACCAACCUACCUUUUCAAGAACUCCGAUCCUCCUGAGACAAAGGAACACAAAGUAUUUUGAUGUCUCUUUUAUUUGGAGACACAGAGGAACAUUUGACACAUCUCACAUAUGUUUUGCUGUUGCACCCAGGAAUGCUGCACCUGAAAGGCCUCAGGCUGUUAACCACUUCAGGCAAGUGGAUUGCACCAUAUUUUCUUACUCUCUCAUCUGGGUCGGGCUUCCUUUUCUCGAUUUCUGGAGCGAGCUCUUCAUCGCUUGAAUCGUUCAGCUCAUUGUUGACAUCUUUGUCCCUGGGUUAUCAGUUCCACGGCCAAGAGGAGUUUGAACUCCAGGUACUGGGAGGUGUUCUUUGCAGCUAUUUCAUCAGGUCUCCGUAUAAUCAUUUCUGAUGACCCUUUUGGUUUUGUGCUCAGGAUGAUGACAGCAGUGAAGUGACAUUUUUUUUGGGAUUCGAUUCUUUUGAAUUGUUCUUGUAGCAGGCUUUCUUGAAGAGCAUCCAUGAGACUGAUAAUGGUAAAAUACCAGUCAAAGUAGACCAGUGAUCCUCUGGGAAGUCUCUCAGUCAAACGCAGAACUGCAUUUCCACUUAUUCCCAUCUGUUGGACUUGACUGAAGGUAUUCUGUCCAAUGUAGGAUUCAAAAUCCAGUACUAAGCCACCUGGACUUACAGGAACGAACACCUUUAAUCCUUUUGGAUUUGGCUGAACAAUUGCUGCUGAAUGGAACAAUCUGUUCAUCAAAAUAGACUUUUUAUAGAC